CGCUACUCUCCAGUCCCCACGAAGCGUAUAUAUAUUCAACUUUUCUUCUCCUCAGUUGACAAUGCGACGAUGUCUCCGACCUUUCUUCUCAUUCAUUCUUUUCAAUGACGACGAUUAUCUCCGACACCGCCAAAUUCUCCUUUCUCAAAAUCUAUUUAAGGCCGACGCUCUAUCCUUUAACCAAAUUAAGAACCCUAGAAAAAUUGGGAAAACGAAAUUCAUGUUGGGUUAAAGUUGCUUUAUAAGAUUUAAGUAAAUGAAGGAAACUCCAAACACCAUAAAGAAAGAAGAGGAACAAAACCUGGAGUCACUUUGUUGGUACGAGGUACUUCUGAUGAUCGCGGGAAGGCGAAGCCGUGAUCGUACAGCUCCUCGUAUCUCAUGAUUUUAGGAUUUGAUUCUGGGGAUACUCUGAUGAUUAAACUAUUUUUAAAACAAACUGUAAUAACUUAAUGGUUUUAAAUGUUUUAAAAAGUUUUAAAUGGGCUUGAAUUUUUGGGAUGUUUCACUCACAACCAGAAAAAGGUGUUAGGGUUCACGACCCGACUCACCGAGUCCAAGAACAACUCGUCGAGUCCUCCAUGUAACAUAUCCAUUCAGUCAAUUCUAAUCCAUUCCAAUGCUUCUAGUUCAUAGAUUUGGACUCCUUAUACAAGUAUUACAUGUAAAGUUGCUAACUUUACAUGCAUGCAUGGUGCUAUGAAGCUAAAACACCCAAUACAAGCCAAAAUGAAGGUUUAAGUCAUAGAAUGGAGUCAUGGCUAAAUAAAGGUGGCAACUUUGAGCUUCUAAAGCUUAACAGUGUCCAGAUCUGAAGUCCUUUCAUCCUCAAGGGUUCAAAUCUCGGAAUGACCUUGGAAAUGGCCCAAAAAUGACAAUAUACAAGCUAAGAAGGAGA